AUAGAGUUAGUAUUACUAUAUUAAUUUUCAAAAUAAUUCAACAUUACAAUGUUGUCCAAUCAAUUGGACAAUAUUGCAGAGAUACUCAUUCAAACAAGAGUUAAUUCAAAUUUUUCACCAGAUCUUAAAUUAGAUAUUAUGAUGGCCAUUUCUGAAUCUACUAUAGAAUCAGUGGCAUCCUUGAUGGGAUCUGUCAAAAGAUUGAAGAAUGGGUUUCAACAGGCCAAGCCUGGAUCCUUCCUGGAAAAUUUGGAAUCCAUAAUGAAAUAUGGUUUUUAGAUGGAAGUUUAGCAUGUGAUGACUAAACUGACUUAUAUUUUAAUGCUGUUAUUCUCACAAUUUGUUCAGUGAACAGACAAAAAUGGUU
rnacentral:lncRNA from 1 species